UCCCUUAUAAUCUUAUUAAUUUAGGAAAAAGAAAAAUAAAGUUUUAUUUCGCUCUUAGAAGCCUAUAUCUCGUGUAUUGUAGUAGUUAAGGUAACAGAUUAACUAGCCUUAUGCACGUAGUCGUAACUGAGAGGUUGAUCGACCACAAUGGGCCUGAACAAAGCCCAUGAUGAAAAUUACAGCAGUGAGGAAUAUUGGUCAAUGGCCUAACGGCUGAACCAGCAACUUGGAAGAAUGAAUAGUGAAAGCUAAUUGCGCCAAACCAGGGUGUGAUAUCGACUCAGUCGAAUAAAAUUCUGGGUGGACAUAUGAUAAUGACAUAGUCCGCUCAUGUGUCUUGGCUAAAUUACGUGCCAGCAGCCGCGGUAAUACGUAAAAGACUAGUGUUAUUCAUCUUUAAUGGGUUUAAAGGGUACUUAGACGGUAAAUAAAGCCCUAUAGGGUACUAAUUUGCUAGAGUUACUUACGCGGGGGUUCUAAAGUACUAAUGGUGGAGAGAUGAAAUUUUGUCAUACCAUUUUUCGAAAGAAAAGUUUUGGCACAGGUAAAGGCGAAAGCAUCCCCUUAUGUGAUAACUGACGUUGAAAGACGAAGGCUUUGGAUCGCAAAUAGGAUUAGAUACCCUAGUAGUCAAAGCAGACAAUUAUGAGUGUCAUAGAUUAGAUAUAAAUUUUUAUUCUAUAAAUGAAAGUGUAAGCACUCCACCUCAAGAGUAAUUUGGCAACAUUGGAACUGAAAUCAUUAGACCGUUUCUGAAACCAGUAGUGAAGUAUGUUGUUUAAUUUGAUAAUCCGCAAAAAACCUUACCACAGUUUGAAUAUUUACAUUUAUGUAAGUACAAGCGUUGCACGGCUGUCUUCAGUUAAUGUCGUGAGACUUUGGUUAGAUCCAUUAAAUUAACGCAAGCCCUUACUUUAUUUUUAUAUAAAGUUGUUCCCCAUUACAUUGGAUAUAUAA
rnacentral:rRNA from 1 species